GCUUCAAAGGAACUGUCAGCAGCCUGCGAGUUUUCCUUCCACAAGGGACAGAGGAGACAUUGAAACAUUCAGUCAACAGUGUUUGCCACUCAAUGGUCUGGGGAUAGAGAAAACCCGUGGAGUCCUCCUGGCAGUGGUGGGAGUGUGGGCUGCCUUCUAUGCUGGCCCCUGCAGGGUGUGGCCUGACGACCCCGGUCUCUGGGUCAGUGCCCCUCAAGGACGACUGGUCUCGACUGGACUCUUGGCGAAUGACAGCUCCUCCUGCUGCCAACAUCCAAGCUCAUCUGUGCCUCCAGCCAUGAAGAUCACUGCCCAUGGCAGUCUCCUCUUGCCAGCUCAGUCCUCAGCCAGCUCAUGGUCCUCUCAGCAGCUCUGUGUCUGCUCUGGGGGUGGGCCUGGGCCUUUUUCCCCCACCGUAUGCUCUGCACCUGUCAUGGCCACCAGCAUAGAAGUGAAUGAAUCCUUCAAAAUUCAGCUGAAAUAUUGAACUCUUCGCCAAUGUGUCCACCGUUUCCUCCUACUGCUUCCUCUGUGCUCUGGUAAGAAGAUCAUCUUGCUGCUACACGGAGCAUUUUUUGGCUUCUAUUCCAGCCCCUGCAUGCAUCUCAUCUCUCCUACGUUAUCAAUCCCACCUCUCCCCCACUGCCCAGGUGGGGGCUUCCCAAGGCCACCCUCAGAUCCUUGCCAUGUACAUGUUACGCUCAAUAAAUAUUAAAAUUAGUUGAAGUUGUGUUCUGUCUAAUUAA
rnacentral:lncRNA from 1 species